rnacentral:rRNA from 1 species
CCGUACCGCAAACCGACACAGGUAGUCAAGAUGAGAAUUCUAAGGUGAGCGAGCGAACUCUCGUUAAGGAACUCGGCAAAAUGACCCCGUAACUUCGGGAGAAGGGGUGCUCUUUGAGGUUCACGCUUCGAAGAGCCGCAGUGAAUAGGCCCAAGCGACUGUUUAUCAAAAACACAGGUCUCUGCUAAACCGUAAGGUGACGUAUAGGGGCUGACGCCUGCCCGGUGCUGGAAGGUUAAGAGGAGUGGUUAGCGCAAGCGAAGCUACGAAUCGAAGCCCCAGUAAACGGCGGCCGUAACUAUAACGGUCCUAAGGUAGCGAAAUUCCUUGUCGGGUAAGUUCCGACCCGCACGAAAGGCGUAACGAUUUGGGCACUGUCUCAACGAGAGACUCGGUGAAAUCAUAGUACCGGUGAAGAUGCCGGUUACCCGCGACAGGACGGAAAGACCCCGUGGAGCUUUACUGUAGCCUGAUAUUGAAAUUCGGUACAGUUUGUACAGGAUAGGUAGGAGCCUUAGAAGCGUGAGCGCUAGCUUACGUGGAGGCAUUGGUGGGAUACUACCCUAAUUGUAUUGGAUUUCUAACCCGCAGCACUUAUCGUGCUGGGAGACAGUGUCAGGCGGGCAGUUUGACUGGGGCGGUCGCCUCCUAAAGAGUAACGGAGGCGCUCAAAGGUUCCCUCAGAAUGGUUGGAAAUCAUUCAUAGAGUGUAAAGGCAUAAGGGAGCUUGACUGCGAGACCUACAAGUCGAGCAGGGUCGAAAGACGGACUUAGUGAUCCGGUGGUUCCGCAUGGAAGGGCCAUCGCUCAACGGAUAAAAGCUACCCCGGGGAUAACAGGCUUAUCUCCCCCAAGAGUUCACAUCGACGGGGAGGUUUGGCACCUCGAUGUCGGCUCAUCGCAUCCUGGGGCUGUAGUCGGUCCCAAGGGUUGGGCUGUUCGCCCAUUAAAGCGGUACGCGAGCUGGGUUCAGAACGUCGUGAGACAGUUCGGUCCCUAUCCGUCGUGGGCGUAGGAAAUUUGAGAGGAGCUGUCCUUAGUACGAGAGGACCGGGAUGGACAUACCUCUGGUGUACCAGUUGUCGUGCCAACGGCAUAGCUGGGUAGCUAUGUAUGGACGGGAUAAGUGCUGAAAGCAUCUAAGCAUGAAGCCCCCCUCGAGAUGAGAUUUCCCAACUUCGGUUAUAAGAUCCCUCAAAGAUGAUGAGGUGAAU